GCCCGGUUAGGUCAAUCGGUAGAGCAUCAGACUCUUAAUCUGGCUGUCGCAGGUCCGAGCCCCACACCGGUCU